rnacentral:rRNA from 1 species
GGGAAUAUUGGACAAUGGGCGCAAGCCUGAUCCAGCCAUGCCGCGUGUGUGAAGAAGGCUUUCGGGUUGUAAAGCACUUUCAGUGGGGAAGAAGGCUUACCGAUCAAUACCCGGUAAGAAGGACAUCACCCACAGAAGAAGCACCGGCUAACUCCGUGCCAGCAGCCGCGGUAAUACGGAGGGUGCAAGCGUUGUCCGGAAUUAUUGGGUGUAAAGGGUGCGCAGGCGUCCCGAAAAGUUUUCGGUGAAAUCCUUCGGCUUAACCGAGGAAGUGCCGGAAAAACUUUCGGGAUUGAGUACAGCAGAGGCCGGUAGAAUUCGUGGUGUAGCGGUGAAAUGCAUAGAGAUCACGAAGAAUACCAGUGGCGAAGGCGGCCGGCUGGUCUGGAACUGACGCUGAGGCACGAGAGCGUGGGGAGCGAACAGGAUUAGAUACCCUGGUAGUCCACGCUGUAARCGAUGUAUGCUAGAUGUCGGUCCUUCGGGGCCGGUGUUGUAGUUAACGCGCUAAGCAUACCACCUGGGGAGUACGUUCGCAAGAAUG